rnacentral:rRNA from 1 species
UACGAAGGGGGCUAGCGUUGCUCGGAAUUACUGGGCGUAAAGCGCGUGUAGGCUGCUCGGAAAGUCGGAUGUGAAAGCCCUGGGCUCAACCUAGGAAGUGCAUUCGAAACUUCCGAGCUAGAGUUCUGGAGAGGAAGGCGGAAUUCUCGGUGUAGAGGUGAAAUUCGUAGAUAUUCGGAAGAACACCAGUGGCGAAGGCGGCUCACUGGACCGUUGUUGACGCUGAGGUGCGAAAGCGUGGGGAGCAAACAGG